rnacentral:rRNA from 1 species
GACGAACGCUGGCGGCGUGCUUAACACAUGCCAGUCGAACGGAAAGGCCCUGCUUUUGUGGGGUGCUCGAGUGGCGAACGGGUGAGUAACACGUGAGUAACCUGCCCUUGACUUUGGGAUAACUUCAGGAAACUGGGGCUAAUACCGGAUAGGAGCUCCUGCUGCAUGGUGGGGGUUGGAAAGUUUCGGCGGUUGGGGAUGGACUCGCGGCUUAUCAGCUUGUUGGUGGGGUAGUGGCUUACCAAGGCUUUGACGGGUAGCCGGGCUGAGCGGGUGACCGGCCACAUUGGGACUGAGAUACGGCCCAGACUCCUACGGGAGGCAGCAGUGGGGAAUAUUGCACAAUGGGCGGAAGCCUGAUGCAGCAACGCCGCGUGCGGGAUGACGGCCUUCGGGUUGUAAACCGCUUUCGCCUGUGACGAAGCGUGAGUGACGGUAAUGGGUAAAGAAGCACCGGCUAACUACGUG